UGUGAGCUCAUGUAGCACAAAUCCGUUAUUACUUUAAAUGAGGUUCACCGUUUGAUGAUAUAUUUUUGUUAAUGGUGUCAAUAAAUCGUAAGUUUGAUUUCCUAAAAUUUGACCAUUAGUUUAGAUAUCACGAAAAAAAAUUAUAUGAGUUAUUUGAUUUUCUAAAAAUCGACCAUUAUUUUUUAUCAUGCGUUUUUUGUUACUCUAUUCAUCAUAAUUUUUAUUUAUGUUGUAAACAAAAAUAAGUAAAUUUUUAAAGGUUUGCCCCCGUGCUUGGCACGGGUAUCAUACUAGUUAUAAAAAAAUACGAGGAAAAGAAUAAUGUGCCCCCUUCUCUCUCUUUCAAUUGUUUCCGGCAAAGCGCUCUCCAUAUUCCGCCGCCAUGGUUCUUUGGAGUUGCUACUACACAAAGCUCUUGCUCCGUGAUCGAUUGUCGUGUUGGUGUGCCGAUGUUCCUGUUUGUUCCUCUAAGAACAUUAACAAGACUUGCAAAGUCAGUCGGAUCUGGGAUUGAACUUCACCAAUAUCCAAGCUUUCACCGACCCAUUAUUUCUGGGACUCGGUCUAGGAGUCACAACUAUGAGUUUACGUUAUGGUCUUUGUGGAGUUAUGGUGGUCUUCAAGCUUGGAUGACUAGUGAUGUGGUUAAUCUACAGAACUUUGAUGUUAGAAUUUUAAAUUACUAAAUUAAAU
rnacentral:lncRNA from 1 species